rnacentral:lncRNA from 1 species
UUGGUCAUCCUGUAGAUGUGAGCCAAGAUUUAAUACCUGGCUUGAAAUUCAUGACUCCUGCUUAUGGACAGUGUCCUCCCUUCCUUAUAGCUUUUACUUAUUACUUUUUUUAGUAAAUGUAUUAUAGUGGAAGGAAUUACCAUGACAGCUGAGGAUAAAAGUGUCCUUGACAUGAGCUGUGAAAACCUGGGAAGCAGCCCACCUUUCUUACCUCUUCUCUCAUUUGUAACAGGUCUUUCCAACAUAUUUCUUCCUGCAUGAGUAGGAAUGUAAGUAAAUGAAGCAAUUCACAGUAAUUUGGACAUAAAGGAUUCUCUGAGGGAAGGUGAGGACCUCCACUGAACUGGCCCCUGCCUCUUGCUUCCCAUAGCACAUCCAUACCCUGCUCCCAGCGCCAUGGAUUUGUGCCCGAGACCACAGCAGUUCUCAUGUACAUCAGGUCAGGAAUUUCCUGAGCUAGAAAACGUAUCCGUGACUUUGGAAAGUGGGCCGUGUGCCCCAGACAAGUGGUUUGUGAUGUGAUUGUCCCAUUCAUUGAGCUGGCACCAAUUUGAGCAUUUUGAUCAAUGUAGAUUCUUGCCUCAAACUAGAGUGCUUAUUUGAG